UGGGGUAUUUCUUGCAAAGAGUGAAAGCGAGAGAGAGCGAGAGCGAGCGGGAGAGCGAGAGCGGGAUGCAGAGAGGUGUUUGGAGAAGGGUUUAUGGGUCGUGCUGCUUUAGGUGCCAGUUGCGGUAUUUACACGAUUGUUGCCACAGAAGCAGCUCAGCAGGUGAAGUGUGUUUAAGACGCAGAGUGAGCUCAUGAACUGGCCCCAGAUCACCCUUAGUGCUUCUCUCCUGUAACGAUCAUUAGUGUGUUCAUUUGGUUUUGUUUCCUUUGCUCCGGAUUAAAGCUAAACGCCACCUUUUUGUUUUUAAUGAUCCUCACUCUGCUGAUGUCGAGCCAGGUUUCCAGCCUUCACACUGCAAACAGAGAAAUCAUGAGUCUUCAAUGCAAAUUCACUUUCUGGUUUUGAUCUGUUCCUGUUUCACGCCGACGCAAUCGGACUCAUCCUGUUGUUUCUAGACGAGUCAGUGAAAACCAUCUGUAGAUGUUGAGACAGAGUUAAAUUUGUGUUACUUCUUAACAAGGUUUACGUGCUCUACUUGCUGCAGCUCCUCUUUUCAGCCUCUGUCUCAAACACUUGGUUUACGCUCCUGUUUCUUUAAGUCGGCUCUGAUUGGCCACAGAGUUUUUUUUACUUUGCAUAACUUUUACAAUUCACAAAAGAAUCCGGAGAACUACAGAGUUCACCCGUAGUUCGUCUUUCACACAUGCACAACACAGCAGGAGGUUCUAGCAGCAGACGGAGACAGGAAGUGACGCGUUAACUCCGCUGUGGAGGUCAUGUGAUCAUGUUUACAUCACCUGACACAGUCUGAAAUCAGCAUUAAAGGAAAGAGAGAGAUAAUACUUUAUCUUUAGCGUUGGCUUGAACGUGGCUGUGGACUCUGUGAGCUCAUGUUCUGUCGUUAUCUCCGGGAAUUCUUAAGUCAUAUGUUCUACAAUUUGUACAUUUUGAAAAUAGCUGGUAAACUCAAUGAGAUACAUGAGGUCAGGGUGUCGGGGUCGUGCCGGAGGAAUCUGCACUCGUGACCUCGGUGUUUCAGAAUCCAAAUAUUCAAAACUCUCUGCUCCAGCAGAUUGUUUCAGGGUCUUUUGAUGUUUUUUUUUGUUUUUAUGACAAAGAUAAUAUGAUUAAUGGAGAUGGGGGUGCUGUUUUUAUCAGCUGGAUCUAGAUUUGUUCAGAUAUUUGGCCGAAUCUGCAGAAGCCGUGGAGCUUGUUGGACGUUAGUGUGAGAAAAGAUCAGAAGUGAAGCACGAGGGACUCGAGGCGCCGCAUGUGAAAGGUGGUGCAACAGAUCAGAGACAGAUUCUGGGUUUGAGAAGUUCAAAAUAUUGUUGAAAUGAUGUUUAACUUUUUUCUAUUUCCACCCCCCUGCAAAAAUACUUAUCUGCAAUUCUUUGUUUCUGAUCAUAACUUUGUGCCCAGCGUCCGGGGAUCAAAUAUCAAUUCAGUCUCAUUUAAUCACAGCAGAAAAUGAAUCAUGCAAUCAAGCUACUAGAGGAUAAACUAAAUUCUGGUUAUUCUCACUGGGAAAAAAAUGAAUCUGCAUGUUAUGAAAUGUUUCUAUUCCCCCCCCCCCUCCACCUCUUCUCAAUCAACUCUUCAAAAUUGCCUUCUUCUUCUUCUACUCGACAUUUAAUUCCGUUGCCAAUAAUCGCAGCCACACGAGCUCUGCAGCUCACUAACAGAUCACAGCGGUAAUCUGAACACUUUUCCAAAUACUGACUAUUAACACGAAGGCGUGUUGAUCACCAGCCACUCGCAGUGGGAUUUGAUCCGAGGAAUGGUGGAGGAAAGACGGAGGAGCAGCUGUCCGCCUGAGCGGGUGCCUCACGGUCUCCUGAUCAGCUAGCUCCUCGUCCUCCACUCGUGGCCGACACCAGAGGAGCUUUGCUGAUGGACAGAGCUGCAGAGAGCAGAGCCUCACGACCGGCCGGCUGCUGAAAGGCCUCCAUGUUCACUACUUGACCAAAACACCACUAAUGCCUUUCAAACACUUUGGAGUUGUGUCACUGUUAUUCUGUCUCAGAUCAGACUGUCAGUAAGUCUCUCCAGCUAGGGGGGGAGGGGGGGGGGGGCGCUUGAUACACUAUGAGGGUUGCAAUUUAUAAGACAGAUAUAUAUUUAUUUUUUAAUGAGAAGAAAAUCCAAUAGAAAUUAUCGUUUCUAUUAAUUAUUAUAUUAUAUUUGCUGCUGCUUACGUGUUUGUUUUUUUAAUACAUGUGAGAUUUUAUACUCAGAUUAACAAACUCUUUUAAAAUGGGAUCUAAACCAAUUGAUCUGCAAUGAAACGAGGAAGCUCUAUACUGUGAACUUGUAUUUUGUAUAACAAAUCGGUGGCGGGUUCGAUAUAUUUUUGUAACACAUUUGUCCUAUGAAAUAACACAAGUCUUAAUUGUCGCCUGUGUCAGAUGCACACAAAUGGUAAAAUGUGUGUGAGUAUACAAUUUAAUAAUAAAAAGCAACCUGUGUAUUGAA